rnacentral:misc_RNA from 1 species
UUGAAUGUUUGAAGUAGUUGAGCUGGUCUUAACGGACAUGUGCUUGCUGCUUCUAUUCAUCUCAUCCACCUGUGCACUUACUGUAGAGCUUCGAGGAAUGUCCUAGUUCAUUCUGGGACUAGUAUUCAAGUUCUAUGUAUUUCAUUACAAACUCUAUGAAUGUCUUGAAUGUCUUUUAUUGGGCCUUGAUUGACCCUUUAAACUUUAUA